rnacentral:misc_RNA from 1 species
CCGAGUUAGGGUUGCUGAAAUAUCGCGCCCGACCUCCAACCCUUUGCUUACUUGACCUUUUGUUGCUUCGGCAGGCCCGUUCUUACGGACCGCCGGGAGCCUAAAAACCUCCUGGUCAGCGCCUGCCGAUGGCCCAAAUUAAACCCUUGCUUAAACGUGUCGUCUAAGUAAUUGUUAAAACAAAUAACUAA